rnacentral:tRNA from 10 species
GUCCCCAUCGUCUAGAGGCCUAGGACACCGCCCUUUCACGGCGGUAACAGGGGUUCGACUCCCCUUGGGGACGCCA